rnacentral:rRNA from 1 species
AGAGUUUGAUCCUGGCUCAGGACGAACGCUGGCGGCGUGGAUUAGGCAUGCAAGUCGAGCGACGGUAUUCCUUCGGGAAUAUACGGAGCGGCGAACGGGUGAGUAACGCGUGAACAACCUGUCCCUUUGUUCCGGAUAAUUGGGAGAAAUCCCUUGUAAUACGGGCGAGGACGGUCCUUUGGCAUCUUAGGAUCGGGAAACACGAAAGUGGCAUGGGGAGGGGUUCGCGACCUAUCAGGUAGUUGGUGUGGUAACGGCACACCAAGCCAACGACGGGUAGCUGGUCUGAGAGGAUGGUCAGCCACAUUGGAACUGAGACACUGUCCAGACUCCUACGGGAGGCUGCAGUCGAGAAUCUUGGGCAAUGCACGAAAGUGUGACCCAGCGACGCCGCGUGAAGGAUGAAGGCCCUCUGGGUCGUAAACUUCUUUUAAGGGGAAAGAAUGGGCUUCGGCCUUUGACGGUACCCUUUGAAUAAGCCACGGCUAACUACGUGCCAGCAGCCGCGGUAAUACGUAGGUGGCGAGCGUUUUUCCGGAUUUACUGGGCGUAAAGCGAACGCAGGCGGAGUGUUAAGUAAGAAGUGAAAGGUUGGAGCUCAACUCUGACACGGCUUCUUAUACUGGCAUUCUUGAGUCUUGGAGAGGAAAGCGGAACGACACGUGUAGCGGUGAAAUGCGUUGAUAUGUGUCGGAACACCGAUGGCGAAAGCAGCUUUCUGGACAAGUACUGACGCUGAGGUUCGAAAGCCAAGGGAGCAACAGGAUUAGAUACCCUGUAGUCUUUGCCAUAAACGAUGUUCACUAGGUGUCGGGGCUUUGCUUCGGUGCCGCAGCUAACGCAUUAAGUGAACCGCCUGGGAACUACGAUCGCAAGAUAAAACUCAAAGGAAUUGGCGGGGGCCCGCACAAGCGGUGGAGCAUAUGGCUUAAUUCGAUGCAACGCGAAGAACCUUACCAGGGCUUGACAUGUAACUGCACGCUGUAGAGAUACAGUUCUUUCGAAGGUGUUGCACAGGUGGUGCAUGGCUGUCGUCAGCUCGUGUCGUGAGAUGUUGGGUUAAGUCCCGCAACGAGCGCAACCCUCACGGUCUGUUACCAGCGGAUAAUGCCAGGGACUCGGACUGAACUGCCUCUGUAAAGAGGAGGAAGGUGGGGAUGACGUCAAGUCAUCAUGCCCCUUACGCCCUGGGCUGCACAUAUGCUACAAUGGCCGGUACAAAGAGCUGCGAGCACGCGAGUGUCAGCAAAUCUCAAAAAGCCGGUCUCAGUUCGGAUUGGAGUCUGCAACUCGACUCCAUGAAGUCGGAAUCGCUAGUAAACGCCGGUCAGCAAUACGGCGUUGAAUACGUUCCCGGGCCUUGCACACACCGCCCGUCACGUGACGAAAGUCGGUCUCGCCCGAAGUCGCUGCGCCAACCGCAAGGAGGCAGGCGCCGAAGGCAGGGCUGGUAAUUGGCGCGAAGUCGUAACAAGGUA